UACAGAGGUCUCAAGCGUUGUUCGGAUUCAUUGGGCGUAAAGGGCUCGUAGGCGGCCAACUAAGUCGGAUGUGAAAUCCCCAAGCUUAACUUGGGAACUGCAUCCGAUACUGGAUGGCUUGAAUCCGGGAGAGGGAUGCAGAAUUCCAGGUGUAGCGGUGAAAUGCGUAGAUAUCUGGAGGAAUACCGGUGGCGAAGGCGGCAUCCUGGACCGGCAUUGACGCUGAGGAGCGAAAGCUAGGGGAGCAAACGGG
rnacentral:rRNA from 1 species